rnacentral:rRNA from 1 species
UACGGAGGGAGCUAGCGUUGUUCGGAUAUACUGGGCGUAAAGCGCACGUAGGCGGCGCGGUAAGUCAGGGGUGAAAUCCCGGAGCUCAACUCCGGAACUGCCCUUGAAACUGCAGUGCUAGAAUUCUGGAGAGGCGAGUGGAAUUCCGAGUGUAGAGGUGAAAUGCGCAGAUAUCAGGAAGAACACCAAUGGCGAAAGCAGCUCUCUGGGACGGUACUGACGCUGAGACGCGAAAGCGUGGGGAGCGAACAGG